rnacentral:ncRNA from 1 species
GACCAGGGGAAUCUGACUGUGUAAUGAAAACAAAGCAUCGCGAAGGCCCGCGGCAGGUGUUGACGCGAUGUGAUUUCUGCCCAGUGCUCUGAAUGUCAAAGGGAAGAAAUUCAAUGAAGCGCGGGUAAACGGCGGGAGUAACUUUGCCAGUAUCAUCCUAGACGAUGCAGAGUCCUUAAAAUGUGACAUCCCAUCACACGAAAUACACGAGGUAUUCAAGUUGAGAUGGGAGUCACCAGGAACAUUCAAAAGCCUGGGUGCCUUCAGGGCCAAUGAUCAUGCCGAUAACUCUGCAUUCAAAACCCUCAUCACAGCAAAAGAAAUUGCUAAAAACAUCAAAGAAAUGAACAAGAAGUCUGCCCUGGGACUGGACGGGCUCCGCUUAAGGGAUCUGAUCAAAAUGGACCCUCACUAUGCCCAACUGAUGGAACUGGAUAACCUAUGGUUGCUAACACGCACAAUCCCGGAAUAAAUGAGAGAAUGCAGAACUGUUCUCAUACUAAAAUCAUCAAAACCAGAACGCCAA